rnacentral:rRNA from 1 species
CGGGUGAGUAACACGUGAGUGACCUGCCUUUUAGACUGGAACAACUUACCGAAAGGUGAGCUAAUGCCGGAUGAGUUAUAUAAGUGCAUGUUUAUAUAGGAAAAGUUGCGGAGACCUGACGCUGAAAGAUGGACUCGCGUCCCAUUAGCUAGUUGGUAGGGUAAUGGCCUACCAAGGCGACGAUGGGUAGCCGGCCUGAGAGGGUGGCCGGCCACACUGGGACUGAGACACGGCCCAGACUCCUACGGAAGGCAGCAG